CUUAUCGAGAGCGGUGGAGGGAACGGCCCAAUGAAACCCGGCAACCUGCGCGGAAAAUGCGCGUAAGGUGCCAAAUCCGGCGUAGGAACACGAAAGAUGAGG
rnacentral:ncRNA from 1 species